UGCGGAGGGUGCAAGCGUUAAUCGGAAUUACUGGGCGUAAAGCGCACGCAGGUGGCUGAGUCAGUCGAUUGUGAAAGCCCUGGGCUUAACCUGGGAAUUGCAGUCGAUACUACUCAGCUAGAGUAUGGGAGAGGGUAGUGGAAUUCCCGGUGUAGCGGUGAAAUGCGUAGAUAUCGGGAGGAACAUCAGUGGCGAAGGCGGCUCGCUGGGACGGUACUGACGCUGAGGAGCGAAAGCGUGGGGAGCGAACAGG
rnacentral:rRNA from 1 species